GCAUAAUGUUAUUUGGGGCAUCCCUGAAUACCAAAGCUUUAUGUGCUGAAAGAUGGUCUCGCGUCUGAUUAGCUAGUUGGUGAGGUAACGGCUCACCCAAGGCGACGAUCAGUAGCCGGUCUGAGAGGAUGAACGGCCACAUUGGGACUGAGAUACGGCCCAGACUCCUACGGGAGGCAGCAGUGGGAAUAUUGGGCAAUGGGCGAAAGCCUGACCCAGCAACGCCGCGUGAAGGAAGAAGGCCUUCGGGUUGUAAACUUCUUUUACCAGGGACGAAGAACGUGACGGUACCUGGAGAAAAAGCAACGGCUAACUACGUG
rnacentral:rRNA from 1 species